CCCGAAAUUCCUCCCACGUCAACGGCGGAAGGUCAGAAGCUCGGUUUCUCUUGAUUCGCUUCAACCAAACCUUCGCCGUCCGCUCCAAGCAAUGAGUGGCGAGAUAGACCUUGUCCCUCUCCAAGGUGUAGAGGUCCUCGAACAAGGUCUCCAUCGAGUCCACCCACGACUCGACCAUCCAUGGCUCGACCUUCUCCCCCUCGAAGGUCGGUGGGUUGAACCUCCGAAACUUCUCGAGAGCCGCAAGCGCGCGCUCCCUCUCCGCCUCCAAUGCCG
rnacentral:lncRNA from 1 species